rnacentral:rRNA from 1 species
UACGGAGGGAGCUAGCGUUGUUCGGAAAUACUGGGCGUAAAGCGCACGUAGGCGGCGCAGCAAGUCAGGGGUGAAAUCCCGGGGCUCAACCCCGGGACUGCCCUUGAAACUGCAGUGCUAGAAUCUUGGAGAGGCGAGUGGAAUUCCGAGUGUAGAGGUGAAAUUCGUAGAUAUUCGGAAGAACACCAGUGGCGAAGGCGACUCGCUGGACAAGUAUUGACGCUGAGGUGCGAAAGCGUGGGGAGCAAACAGG